ACCCGCUGAAUUUAAGCAUAUCAAUAAGCGGAGGAAAAGAAACCAACAGGGAUUGCCUUAGUAACGGCGAGUGAAGCGGCAAAAGCUCAAAUUUGAAAUCGGCCCCCAGGUCGAGUUGUAAUUUGUAGAUUGUAUCUUGAGAGCGGAUUAAAGUCUGUUGGAACACAGCGCCUUAGAGGGUGACAGCCCCGUAAAAUCUAUUCUCAUUGUAAGAUACUUUCGAAGAGUCGAGUUGUUUGGGAAUGCAGCUCUAAGUGGGAGGUAAAUUCCUUCUAAAGCUAAAUAUUGACGAGAGACCGAUAGCGAACAAGUACUGUGAAGGAAAGAUGAAAAGCACUUUGAAAAGAGAGUGAAAAAGUACGUGAAAUUGUUAAAAGGGAAGGGUAUUGAAUUAGACUUGGUGCUGUUGUUCAACUGUGUUUCGGCAUAGUGUACUCAGCAGUACUAGGCCAAGGUGGGGUGUUUGGGAGUGAAAAAGAAGUAGGAAGGUAACUCUUCGGAGUGUUAUAGCCUACUUUCAUAGCUCCUCAGGCGCCUCAGGACUGCGCUUCGGCAAGGACCUUGGCAUAAUGAUUCUAUACCGCCCGUCUUGAAACACGGACCAAGGAG
rnacentral:rRNA from 1 species